rnacentral:rRNA from 1 species
UACAGAGGGGGCAAGCGUUAUUCGGAAUUAUUGGGCGUAAAGGGCGCGUAGGCGGCUUUGCAAGUGACGGGUGAAAUCCCUCGGCUUAACCGAGGAACUGCCUGUCAGACUGCAUGGCUUGAGACCGGGAGAGGUGAGUGGAAUUCCGCGCGUAGCAGUGAAAUGCGUAGAUAUGCGGAGGAACACCGAUGGCGAAGGCAAUCCCCUGGGCCUGUACUGACGCUCAUGCACGAAAGCGUGGGGAGCAAACAGG